rnacentral:sRNA from 1 species
GAUGGCGGUGAGGAAGACCGCGCAGACCCAGUGGAGGCAAAAGCACCCGGAGACGAUAUCCGGGCCGCAGCAUCACAAAGCAUCCCUGGCAAGUGAGCAGAGACGGCCAGAAGAUCAUUGGCCACAUGGUAUUGCGAAAGCAGUCCGGAUCCGGGAGCAGUAGUAGCAUACUCGGGUUGAAAGUGGUCGGCG